UGACUAAGAAGCCCCGGCUAACUACGUGCCAGCAGCCGCGGUAAUACGUAGGGUGCAAGCGUUAUCCGGAAUUAUUGGGCGUAAAGGGCUCGUAGGCGGUUCGUCGCGUCCGGUGUGAAAGUCCAUCGCUUAACGGUGGAUCUGCGCCGGGUACGGGCGGGCUGGAGUGCGGUAGGGGAGACUGGAAUUCCCGGUGUAACGGUGGAAUGUGUAGAUAUCGGGAAGAACACCAAUGGCGAAGGCAGGUCUCUGGGCCGUUACUGACGCUGAGGAGCGAAAGCGUGGGGAGCGAACAGGAUUAGAUACCCUGGUAGUCCACGCCGUAAACGGUGGAUGCUGGAUGUGGGGCCCGUUCCACGGGUUCCGUGUCGGAGCUAACGCGUUAAGCAUCCCGCCUGGGGAGUACGGCCGCAAGGCUAAAACUCAAAGAAAUUGACGGGGGCCCGCACAAGCGGCGGAGCAUGCGGAUUAAUUCGAUGCAACGCGAAGAACCUUACCUGGGCUUGACAUGUUCCCGACAGCCGUAGAGAUAUGGCCUCCCUUCGGGGCGGGUUCACAGGUGGUGCAUGGUCGUCGUCAGCUCGUGUCGUGAGAUGUUGGGUUAAGUCCCGCAACGAGCGCAACCCUCGCCCUGUGUUGCCAGCACGUCAUGGUGGGAACUCACGGGGGACCGCCGGGGUCAACUCGGAGGAAGGUGGGGAUGACGUCAGAUCAUCAUGCCCCUUACGUCCAGGGCUUCACGCAUGCUACAAUGGCCGGUACAACGGGAUGCGACACGGCGACGUGGAGCGGAUCCCUGAAAACCGGUCUCAGUUCGGAUUGGAGUCUGCAACCCGACUCCAUGAAGGCGGAGUCGCUAGUAAUCGCGGAUCAGCAACGCCGCGGUGAAUGCGUUCCCGGGCCUUGUACACACCGCCCGUCAAGUCAUGAAAGUGGGUAGCACCCGAAGCCGGUGGCCUAACCCUUUGUGGAUGGAGCCGUCUAAGGUGAGACUCGUGAUUGGGACUAAGUCGUAACAAGGUAGCCGUACCGGAAGGUGCGGCUG
rnacentral:rRNA from 1 species